UACGGAGGGUGCAAGCGUUAUCCGGAUUCACUGGGUUUAAAGGGUGCGUAGGCGGGCAGGUAAGUCAGUGGUGAAAUCCCCGAGCUUAACUUGGGAACUGCCGUUGAUACUAUCUGUCUUGAAUACUAUGGAGGUAAGCGGAAUAUGUCAUGUAGCGGUGAAAUGCUUAGAUAUGACAUAGAACACCAAUUGCGAAGGCAGCUUGCUACACAGCUAUUGACGCUGAGGCACGAAAGCGUGGGGAUCAAACAGG
rnacentral:rRNA from 1 species